rnacentral:tRNA from 1 species
GGGCGUGUGGCGUAGUCGGUAGCGCGCUCCCUUAGCAUGGGAGAGGUCUCCGGUUCGAUUCCGGACUCGUCCGCCAA